UCAAUAAGCGGAGGAAAAGAAACCAACAGGGAUUGCCUCAGUAACGGCGAGUGAAGCGGCAACAGCCCAGAUUUGAAAUCCGGCUUUCGGGCCCGACUUGUAAUCUGCAGAUGAGUCUUUUGGUGCAGCGCCGUCCAAGUUCCCUGGAACGGGACGCCGGAGAGGGUGAGAGCCCCGUACCGACGUGCGCCUAUCCUUUGCAAAGCUCAUUCGAAGAGUCGAGUAGUUUGGAAAUGCUGCUCUAAUUGUGGGGUAAAUCUCCCAUAAGGCUAAAUACUGGCCAGAGACCGAUAGCGCACAAGUAGCGUGAGCGAAAGAUGAAAAGAGCCUUGGACAAGGGCGUCAAAAAGCAUGUGAAAUUGUUAUGAGGGAAGCGCUCGAUGCCAGACGUGGUGGCGGUUGGUUACCCGGCGUUCUCGCCGGCGCACUCUGCCGUCUCCAGGCCAGCAUCAGUUUGAUUCGGGGCUCAAUGCCGCAAGGAACGUGGCUCUUCGGAGUGUUAUAGCCCUGCGGCGACGCCCCGCGACGGACUGAGGAACGCGCAUCUGCCCGGAUGCUGGCGUAAUGGCUUCUAGCGACCCGUCUUGAAACACGGACCAAGGAGUUGACCUAGUAUGCGAGUGUUUGGGUGUAAAGCCCUCACGCGCAGUGAAAGCGAAGCAGGUGGGAGCCUCGGCGCACCAUCGACCGAUCCUGAAGUUUACGGAUGGAUUUGAGUAAGAGCAUGCUGGGUCUGACCCGAAAGAAGGUGAACUAUGCAUGAAUAGGGUGAAGCCAGAGGAAACUCUGGUGGAGGCUCGCAGCGGUUCUGACGUGCAAAUCGAUCGUCAAAUUUGUGCAUGGGGGCGAAAGACCAAUCGAACCUUCUA
rnacentral:rRNA from 1 species